rnacentral:rRNA from 1 species
GAUGAACGCUGGCGGCGUGCUUAACACAUGCAAGUCGAACGAAGCAUUUGCGACAGAUUUUUUCGGAAUGAAGUUGCUUAUGACUGAGUGGCGGACGGGUGAGUAACGCGUGGGUAACCUGCCUUGUACUGGGGGAUAGCAGCUGGAAACGGCUGGUAAUACCGCAUAAGCGCACAAUGUUGCAUGACAUGGUGUGAAAAACUCCGGUGGUAUAAGAUGGACCCGCGUCUGAUUAGCUAGUUGGUGAGAUAACAGCUCACCAAGGCGACGAUCAGUAGCCGACCUGAGGGGGUGACCGGCCACAUUGGGACUGAGACACGGCCCAGACUCCUACGGGAGGCAGCAGUGGGGAAUAUUGCACAAUGGAGGAAACUCUGAUGCAGCGACGCCGCGUGAGUGAAGAAGUAAUUCGUUAUGUAAAGCUCUAUCAGCAGGGAAGAUAGUGACGGUACCUGACUAAGAAGCUCCGGCUAAAUACGUG